rnacentral:rRNA from 1 species
GAUGAACGCUAGCGGCAGGCUUAACACAUGCAAGUCGAGGGGUAUAGUUCUUCGGAAUUAGAGACCGGCGCACGGGUGCGUAACGCGUAUGCAAUCUACCUUUCACAGAGGGAUAGCCCCAGAGAAAAUUUUGGAUUAAUACCUCAUAGUAUAGCAGUUUCGCAUGAAACCACUAUUAAAGUCACAACGGUGAAAGAUGAGCAUGCGUCCCAUUAGCUAGUUGGUAAGGUAACGGCUUACCAAGGCAACGAUGGGUAGGGGUCCUGAGAGGGAGAUCCCCCACACUGGUACUGAGACACGGACCAGACUCGUCGUACGAU